rnacentral:sRNA from 1 species
UUCGUGUUGACUUGUAUAAAACAAAACAGAAAAUAGAAAAAUAAAUGCUAAUAUGAACUACAUUAAUUGAACUAAUUGGUGAAAAUCUUAUAACUUAUUUUGCUUCAUUCUUU